UACGAAGGGGGCUAGCGUUGUUCGGAAUUACUGGGCGUAAAGCGCACGUAGGCGGAUAUUUAAGUCAGGGGUGAAAUCCCAGAGCUCAACUCUGGAACUGCCUUUGAUACUGGGUAUCUUGAGUAUGGAAGAGGUAAGUGGAAUUGCGAGUGUAGAGGUGAAAUUCGUAGAUAUUCGCAGGAACACCAGUGGCGAAGGCGGCUUACUGGCCCAUUACUGACGCUGAGGCACGAAAGCGAUGG
rnacentral:rRNA from 1 species